rnacentral:tRNA from 2 species
CGGAACGUAGCGCAGCCUGGUAGCGCACCUGAAUGGGGUUCAGGGGGCCGGAGGUUCAAAUCCUCUCGUUCCGACCA